AGGGGGCUAGCGUUAUCCGGAUUUACUGGGCGUAAAGGGUGCGUAGGCGGUCUUUCAAGUCAGGAGUGAAAGGCUACGGCUCAACCGUAGUAAGCUCUUGAAACUGGGAGACUUGAGGGCAGGAGAGGAGAGUGGAAUUCCUAGUGUAGCGGUGAAAUGCGUAGAUAUUAGGAGGAACACCAGUUGCGAAGGCGGCUCUCUGGACUGUAACUGACGCUGAGGCACGAAAGCGUGGGGAGCAAACAGGAUUAGAU
rnacentral:rRNA from 1 species